AAAAAGCAAACCAUAUGCAUCUUUUCAUUUUCUUAAUGGUCUGAAAAAACUUCCUCUCUUACCUUUUCAUCAUCUGAAACUUCUAGUUUGGCUCUCUCAUCCUGUCUUGCCUUUCCUGAUCUUCAGCAUAUUCAGGGACUCCCAUCUCCAGGUAACCUUCCUCUCCACUUCUUAGCGUUGCCGUUGCUAAAAUAUGAGCAAGGUUGUUCGCAGAUCUUAAUGUAUGUUGAAAACUGAUAUUUUUAAGCCGAAAAUUUUCUUCUGAAUAUCAUAGAUGUAUGUUCCUACCAUUGAUCGAUCUUGUUCUUUUGUGUUGCAUCUUUUGAUGAUUGCGAGGGAAUCGCCUUCAAAAAUGAGUGAUUGCCAGCCCUUGUCAAUACCUAUUUUGACUGCUGUCCAGCAUGCUAUGGCUUCAGCAGCAAAAGGAGACGAAACACCAUCGUGAAUUUUUGAGUAAGAUAAAAGAACAUGUCCUUCGAAUCUCGAACCACAAUGCCUGAAGCUGACCGAUUCUGGGUUUCUUUAUAUGCACCGUCAAAGUUUAUCUUGACAAACUCUCUCUGUGGCCCAAAGAGUGCAGUAGAAGAUCUGACCUUGACGAGAGUUGAGCUGCUCUACCGCCCAUGACAUUCCCGAAAGACAUGAUUCAUUGUUUCAGCUCGUUGGCCACAUCGAGGACAACUUGUAUUGGCAGUUAGUUUCCUGUGUUGUAAAUUUACCUUUGUAGGCAGAUAGUUCCAUGACAGUCUCCAUAUAGUAACCUUCACUUUAGAUGGUAGAUUUAGGCUCCAUAGUUGCUUAUAAAAAUUUUUGUAGAUGGUUUGUAAAGCAUAAGCUCUAGGAUUUUCAUCCAUUCUCUGUAAUAGUUUAUAAGCACUUCGGACUGUGAAAUCACCCGACGGCUCGCCUCCCCAAAUAAUAAAAUCUUCAUGAGGUGUCCGUGCUAGAGGAAUUCGGAGAAUUCGUGCUGCAUCAACUUCUGCGAAGGAAUAAUAUCUGUGCAUUCAUGGAGACCAUGUCCCACUCUGCCACACCCGAAGCAAAAAGUCGGUAACUUCUCGUACUUGAAUGGGAUCCAACAUUUAUGACCUGUACCAGUUGAAACAAAUAUACCCCUGCGGAGGGGUUUCUGCACAUUUAAUUUUAUCCUAAGGCGACAGAAUUCACCCAUAAUUUCAGAUCUAAGUACUCCUAUAGCAUGCAACAGAUCUUUUUUAUCAAACUCUGGUAAACAUGGCCCAAUUCUAACCCAAAACGGGGAUGAGACAAGUCUGAUUUGAUCUCUUUCCAUUGGUUUUAUCAAUCUUUCAAAAAGAACUAAAUGUUUUCUAAACAACCAUGGUUGGCCUUCCAGAACAGCUUCUAAGUCUUCCUCUAAUUCAAAACUUAUUAGAAAGAGAUUUUGCCCUGCUGAUUGAAUCUCAAAUUUUUCCUUUGUUUUCCAUAUGCUUUUCAUCUGUGCUUUAAAACUGUCUUGAUUAUAAG